CCUACGGGUGGCAGCAGUGAGGAAUAUUGGUCAAUGGACGAGAGUCUGAACCAGCCAAGUAGCGUGAAGGAUGACUGCCCUAUGGGUUGUAAACUUCUUUUAUAUGGGAAUAAAAUGUUCCACGUGUGGGAUUUUGUAUGUACCAUAUGAAUAAGGAUCGGCUAACUCCGUGCCAGCAGCCGCGGUAAUACGGAGGAUCCGAGCGUUAUCCGGAUUUAUUGGGUUUAAAGGGGACGUAGGUGGGUUGUUAAGUCAGGUGGGAAAGUUUGCGGCUCAACCGUAAAAUUGCAGUUGAAACUGGCAGUCUUGAGUACAGUAGAGGUGGGCGGAAUUCGUGGUGUAGCGGUGAAAUGCUUAGAUAUCACGAAGAACUCCGAUUGCGAAGGCAGCUCACUGGACUGCAACUGACACUGAGGCUCGAAAGUGUGGGUAUCAAACAGGAUUAGAUACCCCGGUAGUC
rnacentral:rRNA from 1 species